rnacentral:lncRNA from 1 species
UUAGGACAUGUUUCUGAAAAUACCCAUCAGGCUUCUCAUUCCCAGUCUCAUGAUGAUCAGAGAGGAAGCAGUGAUGUGCUCACGUAUGCUGCCCUGGAAUUUUACCAGAAUAAUCGGAAUACUGGAAAAAAGAGAAGAGAAAUGAGGAAGGAAUCGGAGCAUGUCUCAGAGUAUGCUGCUAUUAGAACUCUGGCCAGAAGAUAAGACAUAUAAUAGACCACCUCAGAUAUAGAUGAUGAGAGUUACAGUAGAUCCAGCACAUUUGAGAAAAAAGAUCUGAAACAAAACUGCAAAUCUGC